rnacentral:rRNA from 1 species
AUUGAACGCUGGCGGCAUGCCUUACACAUGCAAGUCGAACGGCAGCACGGACUUCGGUCUGGUGGCGAGUGGCGAACGGGUGAGUAAUGUAUCGGAACGUACCUUUCAGUGGGGGAUAACGUAGCGAAAGUUACGCUAAUACCGCAUAUUCUGUGAGCAGGAAAGCAGGGGAUCGCAAGACCUUGCGCUGAUUGAGCGGCCGAUAUCAGAUUAGCUAGUUGGUGGGGUAAAGGCCUACCAAGGCUACGAUCUGUAGCGGGUCUGAGAGGAUGAUCCGCCACACUGGAACUGAGACACGGUCCAGACUCCUACGGGAGGCUG